rnacentral:rRNA from 1 species
AGGACGAACGCUGGCGGCGUGCCUAACACAUGCAAGUCGAACGCGCUCCAUUCGGUAGCAAUACUGAUGAAGAGCGAGUGGCGAACGGGUGAGUAGCACGUGAGCAACCUGCCCCGAAGACUGGGACAACACCGGGAAACCGGUGCUAAUACCGGAUAUCCCUAUCGGAUCGCAUGAUCUGAUAAGGAAAUGUUUUUCGCUUCGGGAGGGGCUCGCGGCCUAUCAGCUAGUUGGUGGGGUAACGGCCUACCAAGGCAUCGACGGGUAGCUGGUCUGAGAGGACGAUCAGCCACACUGGGACUGAGACACGGCCCAGACUCCUACGGGAGGCAGCAGUGGGGAAUCUUGCGCAAUGGGCGAAAGCCUGACGCAGCAACGCCGCGUGGAGGACGAAGGCUUUCUGAGUUGUAAACUCCUUUCAGCAGGGACGAUUGUGACGGUACCUGCAGAAGAAGCACCGGCCAACUACGCGCCAGCAGCCG